rnacentral:rRNA from 1 species
GACGAACGCUGGCGGCGUGCUUAACACAUGCAAGUCGAACGCUGAAGCUCAGCUUGCUGGGUGGAUGAGUGGCGAACGGGUGAGUAACACGUGAGUAACCUGCCCUCUUCUUUGGGAUAACGCCCGGAAACGGGUGCUAAUACUGGAUAUUCACUGAUUCUCGCAUGGGGGUUGUGGAAAGGUUUUUUCUGGUGGGGGAUGGGCUCGCGGCCUAUCAGCUUGUUGGUGGGGUGAUGGCCUACCAAGGCUUUGACGGGUAGCCGGCCUGAGAGGGUGACCGGUCACAUUGGGACUGAGAUACGGCCCAGACUCCUACGGGAGGCAGCAGUGGGGAAUAUUGCACAAUGGGCGAAAGCCUGAUGCAGCGACGCCGCGUGAGGGAUGGAGGCCUUCGGGUUGUAAACCUCUUUCGCUCAUGGUCAAGCCGCAGCUUUGGGUUGUGGUGAGGGUAGUGGGUAAAGAAGCGCCGGCUAACUACGUG